ACCCUUCAAAUAGAGUUUGCUCAUGAGGAUACCUUAUAAAUGCGCACAAUUCUGAGCAUUUGGAUCGGCAUUUGGGAGAGUCAGAGUCCCUAAUCAGGAGAAUGUACGGCUGUAGAGUUAGUUAUCCAUUUGUAUGGUGCAGAGCGGUGUUAAAUCCCCAGCCUUUGGAGUAAGGCAGAGGUAGGAAGAACUCAUUCUAAGUGGUCUGUGUACUUUGUCAAGGCUCUCCAGAGCCCAGGAAGGCUCUGAGGAACCUCAAGAGAAGAGUAUUUCUCCCAGUCUUGAGAGUCACUGAAACAGUGGGAACCCACAGCCUCUUGACAUCUCCCCAGAAGCCGCAGCUGCUGUCUGAUCGAUCACAGCAGGUCAAGGCAGUGACUGUCAGCACGGUCCCAUAGCACCAGUGAUCCAGAAGAGCCUACCAGAAAUGUCCGGGUGGAGCCCCACCCACGCUGACAAAGUGUCCUUUAAUGAGCCUCAAGGGUGAUUCUGCCACUUGUUGGUUUGGUAAGCCAUGGGGCAAGGAGGGACAGUCACCACUCUGUGGCGUAGCCCUGGGCAUUCCCUGACCUGCUUUUGGACUCCAGUGACAGCAGCCUCCACAUCCGAGGCCCACCCUGUGUUCUGGCCAAGCGCCCUCCACUGAGCGCCAUCCUUAAAGCCCGUCCAGCGCGUUGGUGGAUGACUGCAUUGGGAGGCCGAGAUCAGCCAGCACUGUUCCUGCCUCUCUCUGUGCAGAGGUUGCUGGACAACUGUGCUUGCUUGUUAGGGCAGCUAAGGUCUGGCUUCCUUUCUUUUACCCAAGACUUGGACUUUGUGUCCCGUCCCCCCCUUAGGAUUAAGGAAUGUUCCAGCUUCUUUCCAGUGCCCGCUGAAUAGAAGCUGUCUUUGACGGUUUUGAUGGCGCUGCUCCUAAGGGUCGGAGGUGAAGUUGUAGCGCGGCCCUGCACGGGAAGUCCUGCACUAGUUCCAUUUCGACCUUCGCCAUAGCUAAUUUUCAGUUUUUCACUCCUGGCUCAAUCCCCAAACAACAGUAACCGAGACCAUGUUAAAUUCCAAGCACUGUGCAAAAUGAAUAAACUACAGCCCUUAUUCCUGAGGGCCAUGCAG